UACGUAGGGGGCAAGCGUUGUCCGGAUUUACUGGGCGUAAAGAGCGUGUAGGCGGCCAAGCAGGUCCGUUGUGAAAACUGGAGGCUUAACCUCCAGACGUCGACGGAAACCGCGCGGCUAGAGUCCGGAAGAGGAGAGUGGAAUUCCUGGUGUAGCGGUGAAAUGCGCAGAUAUCAGGAAGAACACCCGUGGCGAAAGCGGCUCUCUGGAACGGUACUGACGCUGAGACGCGAAAGCGUGGGGAGCGAACAGG
rnacentral:rRNA from 1 species